rnacentral:rRNA from 1 species
GUAAGGAAUAUUGGACAAUGGGGGAAACCCUGAUCCAGCCAUGCCGCGUGAGUGAAGAAGGCCUUCGGGUUGUAAAGCUCUUUCAGAUGUGAAGAUGAUGACGGUAACAUCAGAAGAAGCUCCGGCUAACUUCGUGCCAGCAGCCGCGGUAAUACGAAGGGAGCGAGCGUUGUUCGGAAUCACUGGGCGUAAAGAGUGCGUAGGCGGUUAUACAAGUCAGGAGUGAAAUCCCAGGGCUCAACCCUGGAAUUGCUUUUGAAACUGUAUAGCUAGAGUCCCGGAGGGGUUAAUGGAAUUCCGAGUGUAGAGGUGAAAUUCGCAGAUAUUCGGAGGAACACCAGUGGCGAAGGCGAUUAACUGGACGGGCACUGACGCUGAGGCACGAAAGCGUGGGGAUCAAACAGGAUUAGAAACCCCAGUAGUCC